CUGCUUCCGUAGAGGAGGCUGGUGGUUCCGCUACUGUCACCGAGCCUUCCUUAACGGUCAAUGGUCCCCGGGGAUCUGGUACUACCCAUGGUAUCCCACAGUAGAGUACGGGACGUCAGUGAAGGGGACCACCAUGAUGAUCAGACGGAACUAGACGAAAGAUCAUCCAUGGAUUACGGAAACCCCCAAGAGACGAUUUUAAAUUAAUUUUUAUCGCUGAGUUCUUUUUUUAAUAUUUAACAUCAAGUAACAAACAGUAAAAGAAGGUGGUUGAACGGCUCUGUAAAGCGAUACUGGAUGUAUUCAGUAAAAGAUGUAUUUUAUAUGUGUUGUAAUAAAUUUGAAAA